rnacentral:rRNA from 1 species
GUGGGGAAUCUUGCGCAAUGGGCGAAAGCCUGACGCAGCCAUGCCGCUUGAAUGAUGAAGGUCUUAGGAUUGUAAAAUUCUUUCACCGGGGACGAUAAUGACGGUACCCGGAGAAGAAGCCCCGGCUAACUUCGUGCCAGCAGCCGCGGUAAUACGAAGGGGGCUAGCGUUGCUCGGAAUUACUGGGCGUAAAGGGCGCGUAGGCGGACAGUUUAGUCAGAGGUGAAAGCCCAGGGCUCAACCUUGGAAUUGCCUUUGAUACUGGCUGUCUUGAGUACGGGAGAGGUGAGUGGAACUCCGAGUGUAGAGGUGAAAUUCGUAGAUAUUCGGAAGAACACCAGUGGCGAAGGCGACUCACUGGCCCGUUACUGACGCUGAGGCGCGAAAGCGUGGGGAGCAAACAGGAUUAGAUACCCCAGUAGUCC